rnacentral:rRNA from 1 species
GACGAACGCUGGCGGCGUGCUUAACACAUGCAAGUCGAGCGGAAAGGCCCUUCGGGGUACUCGAGCGGCGAACGGGUGAGUAACACGUGGGUAACCUGCCCUUCACUCUGGGAUAACUCCGGGAAACCGGGGCUAAUACCGGAUACGACCACUUUAGGCAUCUUCGGUGGUGGAAAGUUUUUCGGUGGAGGAGUGGACCCGCGGCCUAUCAGCUUGUUGGUGGGGUAAUGGCCUACCAAGGCAGUGACGGGUAGCCGGCCUGAGAGGGCGACCGGCCACACUGGGACUGAGACACGGCCCAGACUCCUACGGGAGGCAGCAGUGGGGAAUAUUGCGCAAUGGGCGAAAGCCUGACGCAGCGACGCCGCGU